rnacentral:rRNA from 1 species
GAUGAACGCUGGCGGCGUGCCUAAUACAUGCAAGUCGAGCGAACGGACGAGAAGCUUGCUUCUCUGAUGUUAGCGGCGGACGGGUGAGUAACACGUGGAUAACCUACCUAUAAGACUGGGCUAACUUCGGGAAACCGGCGCUAAUACCGUAUGAUAUUUUGAACCGCAUGGUUCAAAAGUGAAAGACGGUCUUGCUGUCACUUAUAGAUGGAUCCGCGCUGCAUUAGCUAGUUGGUAAGGUAACGGCUUACCAAGGCAACGAUGCAUAGCCGACCUGAGAGGGUGAUCGGCCACACUGGAACUGAGACACGGUCCAGACUCCUACGGGAGGCAGCAGUAGGGAAUCUUCCGCAAUGGGCGAAAGCCUGACGGAGCAACGCCGCGUGAGUGAUGAAGGUCUUCGGAUCGUAAAACUCUGUUAUUAGGGAAGAACAUAUGUGUAAGUAACUGUGCACAUCUUGACGGUACCUAAUCAGAAAGCCACGGCUAACUACGUG